CCCAAUAAAAUGAAGAUUGACAUAUGGGGAAGCCCCUAGCAGUGUUAAACGGGUGAGUUAGGCCUUUUAAGUUUUUCAGAAUUCUAAGUCAUAAUAAGAUUUAAACUUGAAUCACGCUAAAUAGAAACCAAAAUAUUCCAAUGAAGGUAAAGAAAACUACUUAAAGAAAAAUAAAAUAACAAAUUGUACGAUGAAAUUAGUAAUUGAAUAUUAUAGCUUUUCAAAUGUCAAACAUUUGAAAAAACAUGAAUUAAAAUGAAACUCAUAUUUGUGAAAAUCUUAAUUGAUUCCCAAAAUUUGGUUCUAAUGUAUAUCAUAUAACCAAAAAUACUAAUAUGAACUUUGAAAUGUGCAGUGAGAGUUAAAGUUGUAAUUCCCUUUAUAGAAAAAAUGGAAAUAAACUUUCAAAUGUAUGUAAUAAAAAAAUCCCCAAACUAUAACUAUUUUGUUCCGUCACUCACAUUAAACUAAUGUGUUCUCUUUUAAAACAGUAGAUAUAUAAUCACAUUAUUUACCAUGUUACUUAAACUUCAAACAACAAAAGGGAAAGGCAUAAUCAAAAUGACUUUAGUUUUUCAAAACAAAUAAAAGGUAUAUUAAAAUAAUAUUCAUCGGUCAAUGUGGAACAUAUUCAAAAUAGGCAUGUAAUUUCUAAUUUCUAAUUUGUAAUGAAGAUGUAGUACAUCGAAAAAAUCGAGUUGAUUAUUGGCAUUUGUAUGUAAAUCAUGGAUAGCCAACAUACCCGUGUUUGUAAAGUAUGCACGUCUGUGUAAACCAACAUUUGUCCCAAAUCUGAUCUAAUUGACUUCAAUUAUCGGGCCACCGUAACCUCUUUCAUCACCAUAGAAAUCGUCAGCUUAAGAAACAUAAUUUCAAUCCAUCAACCAAACAUUCUCAAAAUAUUAUAACAUAAUUAAAGCUAGAUUUAAAAUGCAAAA
rnacentral:lncRNA from 1 species